rnacentral:rRNA from 1 species
GGACGGGUGAGUAACACGUAGGCAACCUACCCAUCAGACUGGGAUAACCGCGGGAAACCGUGGCUAAUACCGGAUGACCCUUCGAAACACAAGUUUUGAAGUUGAAAGGCGCUUUUGGUGCCGUUGAUGGAUGGGCCUGCGGCGCAUUAGCUAGUUGGUGAGAUAACGGCUCACCAAGGCGACGAUGCGUAGCCGACCUGAGAGGGUGAUCGGCCACACUGGGACUGAGACACGGCCCAGACUCCUACGGGAGGCAGCAGUAGGGAAUCUUCCGCAAUGGACGAAAGUCUGACGGAGCAACGCCGCGUGAGUGAAGAAGGGUUUCGGCUCGUAAAACUCUGUUGUUAAGGAAGAAUGGCACAUGGCGUAACUACCAUGUGUGUGACGGUACUUAACCAGAAAGCCACGGCUAACUACGUGCCAGCAGCCGCGGUAAUACGUAGGUGGCAAGCGUUAUCCGGAAUUAUUGGGCGUAAAG